UCGGGGAUCGUCUAAUGGUAGGACAGCAGGCUCUGGACCUGCUAAUCUUGGUUCGAGUCCAAGUCCCCGAG
rnacentral:tRNA from 1 species